GACGUUUUUCUCUAUCCUUGUUGGAGGAGCUGGUCUCUUAUCCGGGCUACGCAGUUGUUGUGAGCGGCGGAAGCAAUCUCUCCGUGUAACGAUGCGGGCGAAGUGGCGGAAGAAGCGCAUGCGCAGGCUGAAGCGUAAGAGGAGAAAGAUGAGGCAGAGGUCCAAGUAAACGUACUGCGCUGCACCCACUGCUCCAGAUGCAAGACCUGGACAGUCCAAUGGAGUGAGCCCAGGAGACCACCAGUCUGCAAGAAGUCUUAGUCUUUUGAACCAAAUUCUAUAAAGGCUGAUCUGAGUCUGUUUCUGACCUUCUGCAGUUUGACUUGCACUUUGUAGUACCUCCCUGUUUUUCCUUUUUUUUUUUUUUU